GGGUCGUUAGCUCAGUUGGUAGAGCAGUUGACUUUUAAUCAAUUGGUCGCAGGUUCGAAUCCUGCACGACCCCUCA
rnacentral:tRNA from 1 species